rnacentral:rRNA from 1 species
GUCCACGCUGUAAACGAUGGAUACUAGGUGUUGGAGGAAUUGAUCCCUUCAGUGCCGUCGCUAACGCAUUAAGUAUCCCGCCUGGGGAGUACGGUCGCAAGAUUAAAACUCAAAGGAAUUGACGGGGGCCCGCACAAGCGGUGGAGCAUGUGGUUUAAUUCGACGCAACGCGAGGAACCUUACCUGGGCUUGACAUCUGGAGAAUUCCCUAGAGAUAGGGAAGUGCCUUCGGGAGCUCCAAGACAGGUGCUGCAUGGCUGUCGU